UACGUAGGGGGCAAGCGUUGUCCGGAAUCAUUGGGCGUAAAGCGCGUGUAGGCGGCUCGAUAAGUCUGCUGUGAAAGUCCAGGGCUCAACCCUGGGAUGCCGGUGGAUACUGCCGAGCUCGAGUCCGGAAGAGGCGAGUGGAAUUCCUGGUGUAGCGGUGAAAUGCGCAGAUAUCAGGAGGAACACCAAUGGCGAAGGCAGCUCGCUGGGACGUGACUGACGCUGAGACGCGAAAGCGUGGGGAGCAAACAGG
rnacentral:rRNA from 1 species